CUGAAAGCCACUACACCUAUCUAUACAUCAGUUCAGAGUGUCUACACAAGGGAUUUGCAUUGGAGUGACUAUGGGUUAAAAUAUUCAAAAGCCAGAGCUGUAGUCAUGGACGCAGGACCCCAAGCAUAGAACAGUUAGUCCCUGCCCUGAAGAGCAUACAAUCUGAAUAGACAGAAGUGACACAAAGUGAAGGAAGAGGUAGAGCAGAAGAAACUAAGUGAUGGCAAGCAGCAUGAGGAAGAAGUAUCCCCUCACAUGUCCAUUCUUUAAAAUUUCCACCGUCAUCUUCCUUUGAGUCCAUCAGUGCUGUUUCAUAAUUGACCUUGGGGACCACAGCAAAUGAUAUGAAGCAGUCCUUACCUGGGGUAAUGCCUAAGGCCCCAGAAAGGACAGGGACCAACACACCUUUGUAGCAGGAGCAGUACAGACAGAGAGGAAGAUGCAGUUCCUGAACUGAAUUGCUUCAGUCUGAAAAGACAAG